CCGCCUCGUACGGCCGCGUCAGCAUCCUGCUCUUCCGCCGGCACGGCCGCCUCUGGGCUGCGCUACGGCGCCUCUUCGAGGCCGGCGGCCUCUCGGAACGCAGGGUUGGAGCCCUGCGGCUUCCUUUUGGCUACUGGCGGGGCCGCUCUCCGCUGUGACGCCGUGCCCGGCCUCGGCUGAGCUCCGCGCGCUUGGAGGAAGCCCCACACUCGGCUUCCUACCGCGCCACGACCUCCUCGGCGGGAUGCGGCCUCGGUGCCUGGGGCUGGGCCUGGGCUUGGCCUCGGCCUCCCCAUGGCCCGGCUGCCUUCGGCGGCGAGGAGCAGGCUGGGGGACCUGCCGUGCCCGUGCGGCCUGCCGCGGGGAGCCUGGCCCUGCCGCUCUGUCGGCCUGCGUAGGGAUUUUCGUUUUACGCUUACGGAAUGAUUCAACUCACGCCAUUUUUUUUUUUCCUGUUUUUCUCCUCAUUAACUUACAUUGCUCCUUGCAGCACGUCCAUUAGGAGUGGCAGGCAUGACGGGUGUAAGUGUAGCAGUAACGGUCCUUAGGAGCACGAGUUGUGACUUGCCCAUAUCUUGUAGUGAGUUUGAGGUAUUGCAGCUGUAGUGUUUGGAUGCUGGCAGUUCUCAGAAAAUUCCCUGUGCUGCUUGCUGUGCUAAGGUGUGCAGUUAUUUUGCAUAUUGCCAGAAAAUGAAGCAAGCUGCAGCAUGCCUCAAAUGAAGGACUAAAAGUAUGAAGGAAAUGUAAAACGAUUUCCAUCUCUGUAUGCUCACGUGUGUUUUUCUAAGGAAUUUAAGCCUAUUAAUAUAAAUACAGUAAAUAAGAUUAUUGUAUGUCAUUCCUACCUACAUCAUAGACAUUUCCUGUAAUUAGACAGACUACACACUGAACAAAAAGGCAGUAACAAGCAUGCUCUGUUAGAAUUUGCCAAAAGCAGACAUUUUUGUUGUUUGGUGUUGUAAAAACACCCCCAGAAAGUUUUAUCUUUAAUACUUUUUUUUUCUUCCUCAGUAUAGGAAACAAUAGUUCCCUUGUUCCUGUUUCUGUUUCACUAAGACAAUUCAGUAUCUUCCUGUACUGUGCCUCUUAACUGCCACUUGUUCCAGUCCUGAUGAGGUUUAGGAGUGUCUCCUUCAUGUAUGCUCGUCCUUCAGGGGUGAAUGAGACUUAAAGGCUUAAAGUUAAGGACAUGAGACGCUGGGACAACUGAGUCUGCAGUCUUUAAAUUUAGAAGCUUGAUCUUCUUUCACUUUCACUGGUACAGAAGUGGCAGCUGAAUUAGGCCAAACUUGUGAGAACUGCAUCUGUUACAUGACCUUACUACUCCUGUCGCAUGAUAGUUUGCUUUUUACUGUGAAGAAGACAGGUUUCAAGUAAAGCAACGUUAUGAAUUUCACCUGAAGACCAAAGUCAAAUGGUAUUUUUCGGUUGUAAUUACUGAGAACUAAAAUCAAACAGCUCUUGUUGUUGCAGGCUGCUUCCUGCUUUGUGGUAGGUACAUGGUUAUCCAUGCAGAAGAUGAGGUUAUCAAAUUAGAGACCAACCAUGGAGCAAAGACAAAAAUAACAAUAUUGUACAUGCAGGAACAGAAAUGAUGUGUUUAAAAUACUGUUUAAUGGGAGUAUGGUGCUUAAAAAUACUGGCAAUAGCUUUUAGUGCCGUACAUCUUCAUUCCUAAAUGUCUAAAAUACUUGCACAACCUGUUGCAUUAAUUUCCCCAAGUGAUAUAAAUAUGUGUUUGUGUAUAUAUAUAUAUAGAUAAUAUAUAUGUGUAAAUAAUAUGUGUGUAUAUAUACAUAUAUAAUAUUAAAGAAGGUCCAUUGCAGCUUUAGGUAUGGAUUAGGAUUUUUUUUUUUCUCAUUGUGAUUCAUUUGUAAUAUAUAAGAAUUAAUUAAUGUUUUGUCUUUCAUGUGAGAAGAUUUCUCCUCCUUGAGAAGAUUUCUCCUCCCUUUGUAUUAAAUCUGAAAAAGUAAAACAAACAAACAAAAAACAACAAACUGCUCAGUACCUAAUUUCGGCUGCAUAGAUUAUAUACUUUUUAUAUGUAUUCAAGUUCUGAUUUACACUUUCAGUGUCAUGUACUGUUUGGACAUUCCCAAUAAUUUCAGCAGUUGUCAGAGGAUCCUCCAUUUGGAUUUACUACGCAGAGCACUGCCCGUCAGCUGCUUUGUCAAACUUCCUCUCUGUACUAGACUGGAACUGCCACUUCAGAAAUGACUGCUCUCUGUUAUUUAAUAUGAGGAAAAUCAUAUCAAAUCAGACUACAGUUAGCUGGUAAGAAGGAAAUAAUAAUUGCCUAAGUCAUUUUUAUGGAAUUAAUUUGUUUUCAUAGUAAUUUUCUUAUGAACAAAGUUCAAAAACCAAGAUUUCUAGUUCAUUUGGUUAGUGCUAGGCCGAAGCAUUUUGGGUGAGAAGGAUUUUUAUAUAGUCAGACAUGAAACAGAAAUAAGGCCAUAUACUGAAGUGACAACUAAUGGAGCUGAUGUGUCAUAACUUCUUUGGAGAUUACUGUGAAAUUUGUGUGAAACCUGCAAAAACAGGUGCUGUUCACCUACGUGUACAGUGUACGUAUUACUCAUUGUGUUAAAAAAUAACCUCAGUUCUGCCAUGAGCUGACACACACAUGUAUGACCUUGCCCAAGCCCCUGAGUCACUGCAUGUCUCUGUUUCCUUAUUUAUUUAAAGCAACAAUAACAAAACAAAAAGAACCAACAACAAAAAAGCAUACCCAGAUCAUAAUGCUGGCUGGCGUCAGAAAUAUCUUAACAUGGAACUCUGAGUUGCUUAGACAUGCUAUUGUAUUAAGUCUUAAACACUGUAAAAGAAAAUCCCUCAGUGUUUGAGCAGACCACGUGUGUAAAUGAGUGAGGAUGCUUUUGUGAAAUGGUAACAAGGACACAGGGAGUGAAGCUUUAUAGAGCAUGACAGCGACCAUCAGUUUUGCUGUAAGCUUACCUGAAAAUCCUGAGCAUUAAGACUUCUCUUAAAAAAGAAAUUGUCAGUGCAGUUGCUAGCAUAACAUUAUAUUGUGGACCCACAAACUCCAAAGAAGGAUGUCAUGGAAGGGUAGCAAAGAUCAGGGAUUGGAGAAUUUCUGAUGCAGAAAGGUUCUGAUGUGUGUUAUGAAGAACAGCCAAUUUGAGACAGUUACUUUGUAAGAAGACAUCUUGGGUAUUCUCAGAAUGUUUUGGUUCUGUUUGAAAAGAAGUUACAUAACUAGAAAAAUAUCAGGAUGGAGAAAUACUAUCUUUAUAUUACUUGAAGCUCAAAAAAUAUUUAUUACUUCUUUUUCUUUCUUUAAUUCAAGCUGGUGUUUUCUAUAAAGAGUUACUGGUUGCAGAAGGAAAUGUCUGUUGUAAAUAAUGUUGAUGUCACAGCGUGGUUGUAAGGAUUGUAAACCUGGGUUGGGAAUGAUUAGUGUUUUGAUACAGAAAAUAUAAAGCUCUUGCCAAAAUCAAAGUGAAGUACACCUACAAUUAAAACAAAACAAGACAUCUCAGAUUCCUGUGUAUUUUUAAUUUAUAUGGAAGGUAGAGCCUAGUGUAAUUUCUGUUUUUGUUAGCCUUGCUGCCUAGCUUUGUGCUCAUGCCAAGCUGACGUUUCCAAAAAUAUCAGUCCUGUAGGGUAAAUAGAUCAAUGUACCAUAAACAGACCCUGCACACCUCCACAAAUGUAAUUGAGUCGUUUAUGCUAAAGGCCAGCCAAAUAAAACAGGAUAUUUGCAGAUUAUUUAUCCUUUUGCUUUAACAAUUUUUCUCUGCCACUCACACAGCAGUGUAGUAGGAAACAGAGAAGGGUCCUACUACUCCUGAGACAAAAUGUAAUUCCACACUACACAUUUUGUUUUCUUAAUGACUGUUAUACUUUUAAAAAGUUAAUAAAUGCUGGCUACACUUUUCAAAGCAAGGAGGCCGGAAAUUACCAAGGACAGAAAUUUGUUUGCUGUAACAAGCAAGAUUUAGUUUUAAAGAAUUUGGUUACUUAAACUAAUUUACUUCGUAAGCGUAUUGUUAAAAAUAUUUUCUUCUAGAAAACUUAGGUGGUCUUUUGGGGGGAGAGAGGGUGUUUGUUUGUUUGUUUGUUUUUUAAGUAAAAUGCAAUUGGUGAAAGCUUUUUAUUUUAAUUUUCCUAUAUUAUCAUUUUCCCUUCUUAGCGACUUCACUGCUGUACAAGUCAGGUGAGCACAAACAUGGCGUCAGCGUCUUGACUUUCCAAAAGCAAGUACUGAAUUUUGCAACCGUGGCAAUCACAGAACAAUUGUAUGCGAGCUGUAAAGCAUGGUGUGUUUACUUUGUGCAGUCUUAUGCAAUCCACUGUAACAAGCACUGUGUGAGAGGUUGCCUGUUUGGUAGUUCAAAUGCUGCAAUUACACAUGUCGAUGUGGUGAGCAUGUUACUAAUGUUGACGUGGUAAAUGUAUGAGUGACAUACUGGUGUUUAUGAAAGCACACAGCUGAGUCAUUGCUCUUUUUGUUAGACUCUUCCUCAGUUUCAACUUCCAGGGAUGCUCUUAUUGUCAGAAUUAACAUACAAAAGAACAUAGAUUUUGGAAAACUGCAGACACUCCAGUGUUACCCUUUCUUUCUUUUUGUAAAAUGAUUCAAAACCAUAUGAAGUAUAGAGCUUUUUUCCCUAAGUUAACUCGUCUUUGUGGAUGUAUUUCUUUAUUAAGCAUAAAUUCACUGUUUUAUUGUUCAAGGCUAGGCAGUGAGAAGUGGGUGAGCUUCAUACUGCUUAAUUCCUUUUAUCUUAGUUUAUGUAUAUCACUUACAUACAAGAGAAAGUAACCCCUUGUCACAGCCUGCCAUUACUCAUGUCCCUUGCACAUCUGAUUGCCAAAAGGAAAGGGAGGCAGAAAUUAGCAGUUCUGUAUCUCAGGGUGUAACUGUACUCCAUCUACCAGUAACAUAUGCAAUGCCAAUAAAUAUAAAUCCAAGAUAAAUGCAAGCAAAGAUCAGCAUCUCAGGUCAUAGUAUUUCUAAAAAUUCUUAAUGGCAAGUGCUAGGUUAUUACAUUCUGAAUCAGAAAAUUAGAUUUGAGAUUUGUUCCUUCUAGUUUUAUUCCCUUGUUAUGUGACUAAAGCAUGCAUGUAACCCUACCAAGCUUUGAUGUGACUCCCAAAGUAUGAAUGAAUGAACAAAUAAACUUCAAUGAUCAGAAGAUGCGCACUGAGAAUGAAGGGUCUUGAUAAUCGAAUGGUUAUUUUAUAUUUGUGGAUUAAAAGCCCAAAGCUACGUGGAGUUUUGCUGGAAAGAGUGCAAUUUUUGCAGACUUAAAACCUUUCUAAUACCUUCUACUUUUCUUAUAAUUAAAUUAUGCCUCAUUCACCACUGUAAAAUGUUUUGACAUGCAAAAAGAAGAAACAAGCUUGAAUUCUUAAAACCUGAAUUACUGGAUUACUUACUAAACUGUAAAAGCAUUCUUGAUUCAAACCAGGAAAAGAUAACUCACUAUUAUGUUGGAACAUGGCAAAGUUCAAUACUAGAACUAGAAGUGCUAUGGCACUUGGGACAGACAACAUAAAAAUUGUGUAAUUUACUAAAAAGGAAAAAUUGCUUUGCCUUAGAAUCUUGUGGAAAAAUUUAGAAAGUACUGUAGUUUCAUGAUGGUUUAUUCUUUUGGACAUGUGAUGUGUAGUCCUCAAUUAAACCUCAGAUUGGUUGGUCUACUGGAAAGCUGCCAGUCCAUACAGCUUAAAUCUUUGUCAGAAGUGAAGAAAUUACCUAAUUUAGAAUUGUAGUAGAAAGGUGAAAAUAGGUCUCUGCAGGCCUUCAAGUCCUAUUCCUGUACUUAUGUUCCCAAGGAAUGUAUUACAGGUAGUAGUAGUCUGUGUAUCUCUUAACUCAGUUUUUUUAAUUAUUACAGGUCAAAUUGUAUCUGUUUUGGAAUUUGGCCUUCACUGCAACCUUUGGACUUGUUCACAAGUGACAAAUGUAUUAAAUAGAACUGACUAAAAAUGGGAGCAUGAUUUUGCAAAGAGAGACAAAAGAAUCUCAACUUAGGAUGAACAGCACGUUGAAGGAGGUGAUUCAGAGGGCUGGGGCACCCCUCUUGGCUGGGGGUCAGGUAGUUUUGGGUUUUGGGCAUCCUGGUCUAGUGGGAGGUGUCCCUGCUCAUGACGGCAGAUUCUAUGCUAUUCUAUGAACUUCAACAGCAUCCAGUUUUAUUCUUCACUCACUGUGGUGCUUCAUAUGGACUUCCACGUCAGACACCAUUUUGUCAGUCUCCCUCUCUGCUGGCAUCUGUCACACAGCAACAAAGUGUAAUGGAAUACUGGUGGGAAGGUUCAACCUCUACUGCCAUACCACCAACAUCCACCUCUGACAUCACGGGCCAACAGAAUAAAAUAGGAGGCACAACUUUUGGAGCAGCACUCGAGUAAGAAAAAGAAUGAGAAACAUAACCUUCCCUGAGAUAUUUAAAGUAAUUUAAUACCUUUCUGUUUAGAUAACAAUCUGAGAAGAAGCAGAUUUUGAAUGAGAAGCUUUACAUCUCAGCUGUAUUUAUACCAGGCCUGUAUUGGAUUGAAGAGCAUCUCUGGCAAUAAGAAAAAGUGAACAUGCUGCAAUGAAGGCUCAGAAACAUUACCCACAUUCACUGCCUUUCAAAAUGUAAUCCAGGCCAAUUAAAGAAGAUGGUUUUGAUCUCAUAGAGAGUUUUGUGGCAGACCAGCGAGUUUGUAGGAAAAGUCAUACAUAAAACUAUUGUCAGGAGAAAACAGGUAUCAAUAUAAGGUUAUUUUCCUAAGAGCUUUCAUGUAUCUAAAACUGCUUAAGCAUAAUGAAGAUGAUAAGGGUUCCUACCUUUUAAGGCAUGUAACACAUGGUUAUUGACCUAUUUUUGAGAAGUUUCAUCGCCGGGUUGCAACUCCUUAGGAAUUCUAAGAUCCACGCGGUGAGUGAGAGAGUAGCACAGGAUAAAUUAUUCAUACUCAUUUUUCUUACUGUACUGUAUCUUAUACCAUUUGGCAACCAGUUAACUUACACCAGUAUGACAGGAUUUUAAUUAAUAAGUCUCAAAGUUACUCCAACUACUGCACAGGAUUUUGUACUUCAGUUCUUGUGUACUUAAUAUUAAUACCUCCCAAAAGUGAAGCUAGAUAUAGAGUGCUUGUCAUCUAAUGCCCAGUCUAAGUUCUUGUGCCAAAGAUUUUUCUCAGUGACCUGUUUUCAUUGACUCUUAGUUACUUAUGGUAAGACACCAGCACUGAUUUACUAGGCAAGCAUUUUGUACAUGCUUUUACUAUUUUUUCUAUGUUACAGAGUUAGGGUGUUGUUGUUUUCCUAUAAAAUAUUAGCUUGUUAGGGUUUUGCUGUUCAUAUAAUUUUCUGUGUAAACACUUGUCACAGUGAACACAGGUAACUUAUUAAAAUGAUUAAGUACUGUGUGUCUGAGCCUGCAACAAAGCAAUGAUGUUUUCUACCCAGUUUCUUCAUACAGUGUCAGCCUUAAAAACAGCAGACCAAAUUAUUGUAAAGAAAUACGGUUCUACUUGGUAUCAAUAAGGUUUGGGCCAACUUAAUUAUUAGAAAUAUUUGUCUGCCUAAUUUUUGAAGUAGUUUCUCAUGUAUAUAAUUAUAGCUCUUAACUAAAAUGGUUAGUCUAUGUCCCAGUCACUGCUCAGCCCAGGGCUGUUGAAUCUUGUGCUACCGAUUCCCAGGUAUUCACUAGUGGAGAAUCUACAUCAUCGGUAGGAAUUUUUAUUAUCAAAAUAAUAGAAAAGCCUCUGCUGAAGUUUAAGCCUUCCUGCACAUGUAUGAUAAAAGAUGUAUCCACACAGCGUUCUGUAAACAGAAAAUUCAUAGAAGGGGUUAAAAGCAGAUCUAAGACUAACAUAGUCCACUCUUAUAAGCUGCUUAGUAUUUUAACUCUGAAGUCCCAGAGUUCCCCGCUUCCACAUGUUAGUAAUCUCCCAGCUAUACUCAACAAAGUUUUCCUUGUGCAAAGAAAGCCAAGAGGAGUGAAGAAGUUGCAUCUGCAGUGAAGUAGAGGGUAGAUAUAAGCCAGCUUGCAUCUCACGGCCCAGGGAUGAUUCACCAAGACACUGAGGACAUACCCAGAGGGAAAGAUUCUCUACCUGUGCUGGAAAGAAGGGGAGCACAGCUAGGAAGGAACUAGCCUUUCCAGUUUACACCAAGUCAGAGAUUCUUUCCAUAUUGGGAAACUGAGAUAACAAAUCAAAGCCAGAAUCCAGUCCAGUCUCACAGGCAGGGCUGGUGCCUCUACCAAGCAAGACUGCCCAGCCUGUAGCAUUAAUAGUAAUUCUAUGGGAAAGCAAUAAGCAAUGUUUUCAAAAAGCUGAUUAUGUGCUACAGAGGUUAUAUGCAAAUAUACUUGCCGGUUAUCUCACACAGGUGGUCUCAGGAAGCAGUCUCAAGACAUAUUUAGAGGUAAAUUGUGUUCUUCAUCACAGUAUUGUACACUACCAAUAUAUGAAAUUCAAGAUGAAAUCAGUAGAUGUUUUUACAUGUAACUGGGUGCAGAAAUUAGCCCUUAAGUGUGCUGGAAAGUCAGAGAUUUCUCUUGGUGUCAGGUAAGAAAGAUGAGACUUCUGUAUUCAGCAUUAGGCAAUUCAUGUAUACUUCAGCAAGAACUAUGCUAUAGCAACAGGAUAUCAUGUUUUAAAUAAUAAAGAUGAUGACAGACUUCAAGAUUGAAGCCCUAUCUGCUUUUCCUCUCUAUCUUGAUUAACAGCAAUAGUAAGAAAAAGGAUCCUGAUACUUCCAUGUCUCCUAAAAAGGUUAGAAGAUGCAAGCAUCAAAACAUUCAUAACUAUAAAGUGAUACACAACUUUUCUAUAAAUGGAAUGUCUGACUCUUUGCUGUCUUCUAGUAGUAAUCUAUAUCCAUUGUGGGGUUAUUUGCAGGACAACAGUCCCUGUGACCUCGAUCUGUUUCUAUAAAGGGCCACAAAGCUGUCACUUUGCUGCUAUGUUAGACUUUUUCAGCUAGGGGUGCUAGUUGGGAAAUGGACAUUGGCACAGCAAUAUUCAGUCUUCACAGAAAGCUUUUUCCUAUAUACCCAUGAUUUGUUUUCUACUUCUCCUCUCAUCCAAAAGGGAGGCUUGCACACUUAUUUGUGCUUUUGAAAAUCAGUUUCUCUCUCAGGCCCCACGUUGUACAGACUAACAGUUUAAAUUUCUUCAGAAGAGGGGAGUAAGAACAAGUCACAGUUAAAGACUAGAGAUAUUUACCCUCUCUUACCUGCCCUCAAGGAACUGAGGUGCUGCCAGCAAUUAGAGAUAGUUGUCAGUUCCCCUGGGAUUACAAUAAGCAGGAACCAGUAAGUGCACUCUGUUCUCAUCUACCUGCCCUAGAAAAGCUCAUUUGCCACUGAACAAUAGCAAGCACUUCACAGUUCUCUUUGAAUUUUUUCUGAUCUCUGAAAAUCAUCCAAAAUGCAGAGAGUAACUGCUGUUUGAGGUUAAAAUCCUAAUCUAGGAACAGCGGCAAAAUUUUGCAACUCAUGUAACUCCUCCUAAGUAGUUUCAAAAUCUUUUAGUGAAAACAUAUAGUAUGUGUGUUUGGAUGUUGUAACCAAUACUCAGAAGACAAUGAGAACAAGACUGAGUGUCUGCUAUUGCAGUUGGUAAGUUACAUAAUUUUCAAACUUCUCUUCCAGCUUUGUAUACUGUUUAAUCAUUUUCAUAUUUCUGUGGAAGUAGCACAGCAUUCUGAUGAAGCUUCUGUCUGUAUUCUGGCUGUUUUUGUAGCUUGCUUAGAAACCAUAGAGAAUAUGAUCAAUUUACAGCUGCUUAUAUAUGUUGUCAACAGAUAUAGAUUCUUAGUGUUGCAUGUAUGUAAGUUUCCAUUACUUCUUAUAAUAAUGUCAUUAAGUUGCCUCAUCCUGCACUGCACAGUACAAAGUGUUUUGCUUUGAUUUACAGGGCUGAUUGACAGUCUUUUUAUUUCCUGAUGAAUAAUGGACACGGCAAAACAGAACAAGCACAGGUAACAUAUAAUAAAAUUAUGGAAACUUUACAAAUCUGUGUAGUUUCAUAUGUAAAGUAUGUAUAGGAUUCUAGUCAGCUAUGAAGCUGUUAAAUAGUAGACUCAUAAACACUGGGAUUAUGGGAUUUUAAUGUGGCUCAUCACAUCCUAGGUGAGUAAAUCAGAAAUGUGUUUCAUAUAAAAAAAAAUCAGGUGAAAUUAAAUAAUCAUUUUAAUAUGACACCACAAAAAGCUUUGUGGCAUCUUAAAUCUAUAGGGUAAACUAGCCCUACAGGAACACUCGCCUGUUUUGGUACAGUGGGAAACAAGAAUAUGUUGGACUGAUUGUCAGAUUCCAAGUACUUGCCUGUUUGACAGUCCUUCCUGAGAAUUUGUGUCCUUUUGUGAGAAUGAGUAGGAGAGUUUCUGACUUGCUGUUACAUCAGCAGGUGGGUGGCAUGAAUCUCACACAGGCCAUUUUGAAGCAAUGGCUUUACCAAGUAACUGAUUUAAUUACUGUUUUCUUUCUCUUACUGCAGAUGCCUUCGUAGCGUCUGUUGUUCUUUUGUUCUGCGUUGCCCUUCCUUCCUCUCUGUCUGUUCUUUACCUUCAACAUUCAUUUGAUUUGAAAAAGAAUCCCUCAAGAAUAUUGUUGCUUCCUCUGCAGCCUUUGUAAUGGUGUCUUUGCUGCUGCUUUUCCCAGUGGCCUGCCUCUGGCCUCCCACCUUCAUGGGAGACUGUCUUGUUUCACUUGUCUGGGGCACGUUGCCCUCCAGCACUUCUCCUGAGCAGAAGUCACUGACUGAGUCACAGCUGGGUGUUGUCUGGCUGAAGGUAAGAAACAUAACCAGUAAUGAUCUCUAGCAGUAAGUUCUAUGUACUUCUGAGAUAUUAGUCUGAACAGAGACUGGAUUUUAAAUGUCAGUUUGUGCUUCAGUUUGUACUUGGCAAACAAGGUAAGUUCCUGUUCCCUAUUCACUUUCUCCCUCACAGAAGCUUUGCAGUAACAGUCCCAUCUUCCAUAUCUGCUUCAGUAGUCUCUCUGCUCUAUAGUUAGUAAGUCCAAAACCCUCUCCACUUCUCUCUUGAUCAGAAAAGCUUCAGGAGUGUUUUUGAAUCACCACUUCUUAUCCUGAAUCAUUUAAGUUCAUGGUUCUGAAUGUUGUUGCAAGUACACAAAACUGAGCAGGACUCCGAGCAAAUAAAUAAAUACACAUGGAACGACAGGGCUCCAACAAACACUGCUCUGGAGGACAUAAGGGACAGAGAGACAUGUUUGCAUUAUAGUGAAAACUGCUUUGAAGGCAAGCUCAGGUCUAUACAUCUAUGGAGCUUGUCUCACGAAGUCCAGUUGCAUUUGACUACCAAGUCUUGGCAUGGAUGCAGGCUGCUGGCAUUUGCUGAGCACCAUUCAUGCAUUCUGUGUUCAUGAGCUGUGGGAGCUGUGUGUUUCAGUGUGAUCCCAGACCAGGCAACUGUUGUGAACAGGUACUUAAAGAAACCUUCUGGAAAGGCUGGUUUCAAUUGCCAACUUGGAAAAAAGAGUUUUCACUCAUACCUUCUCCAAGUUCAGCUGCCUUCAGCUGUAGAAAACUGCUUUGGUAUCUCCUACCAAUGCCUACCUACGCCUACUGAUCAUCUUUCUUCUUUGCACCUACAAAGGAUAUGUGCAUGGCCUUUCUGCCAUCUCUCCGAACUGAUGUGGAAGAGUCAGGAUAGAAGCCUGUGAUGUUCUGAGGUCAAUGUCUAUCUAUUCUUACUGUAUUUUUUAGAGGGGACCUACAACAAAAUGCCACUUGCAGCUAAAGAUCACACAAUUUUAUUUGUAUCUGUCUCCAACCAGCUUGAAAAUUCUUGUUAUUCCCAGGUUUGUUGGCCUCACAGUGGAACAAGAAAGAAUAUGGCAUAAAAAAAGUCAGCAUAGCUUCCCACCACCCACAAGUGACAGUAGUAUUAUUUAGACAGUUAUGCCUCAGGCAGAACUGGUCACAGUACAAAUGAAAUCAAAAUAGAGUUUCAGCAAUUUGACUGUUUAAGAAUGAUGGCUACAGUGGUAAACAAAAACUGGGCAAGCACAUCUGUUUUUGCAAGUAAAUAGUGAGAUGUAGCUAGAUUGCGUUUUGUCUCAGAUUCAGUCUCAAAAACCAUUUUCUCUUAUCUCUGUUCCUCUCCCAGUUCCAUCCUUGAUCGCUUACUUAACAUAUUUGAUGAACUAUCAUAAAAGAAAAACUGAGAUUUCCUGCAGACAUUUUUUUUAAAAUUUCUCUAACUAUAUUUCAAGUAAAUUCAGUGACAAAAGUUUGAUCCCAUUAUGACUGUACCUUUUACCUGUAAAACAUGCGUACAACUUUGACAAUUAUUUUUCUAUAUUGUUUGCCAUGAACCUUGCAUAAAAGGAGAUGAGGUUAAGAGCAUUUGCCUUUGUAACAAUAGGUUGUCUUUUCAAAUGUACAAAACUUCUAUUUUAGGCAUUAAUCAAAAUGGUUUCCAGACUCCCUAAGGCCAUAAUGCCUGUACUACCACAGGAAACAUCUUAUACAAAAUUUUCUAUUUUUCUUUUUUUCCAGGAAAAAAAGAUGCUGAGGAGCAAGGCACACGGCAAUAAAUAAAUAAAAAGCUUACAAAAAUACCAUAAACUAAAUCUUCUCCAGAGAACAUUCCAAAAUAAAUAGUUCCCAAAUGUAGCAACUAGGCAUCUUAGCAAUUCCACAAUGCAUUUCAUUGGCAGUGAGAUAGUUCACCUUAAUUUUAACGUAUAAAUUUUAACAUUGGCUUAAAAAAAUCCAAUUUUAGGCUAGACAAUUGUGAUUCAUAAAAUGUGGCAACUUAUAAUAGGACUUUUUUUUUAAAUGUUUCAGCUUCCUACCACCAAGUUUCAGAAAAAACUUGUGACCUGCAAACUUGACCUAUAUAAACAGAAGGUUUUUCUGUGCAGUAAGUGAACAGUUUGGCACAAAUAGUAAUAUGCCUAUGGAGAACUGCUCUACUAAGUCUGGAACUCAUCAUCAUGAUUUGUUUCAUUCUGCGAGUGCUGCCAUUCACUAAGCAGCUAGAACACAGGCGCAGAGGAGAGAGAUUAAAUGCCACUGUCUGCCUUCUGGAGUCUGAUUCUGCAGUUCAAAUUAUAUUCAGCUACAGACCAGUGCUCACUACAGAUUUGACUGCAAUGAAGAUGUGGAACAAAACAUCUGGUUCUCCAGGGAAAAUGGAAGGCAUCUCAGCCAUCUUCUCAUAGAUCACCUAUACCAGCAUUUGGCACAGAAUAGGUAUGUACAUAUAUAAUGCAUAUCUCCCUGAUCCCCUUUACUUACCAUUGUGUUGAGCAGAACAGAGGAAGGCCUGCCAUGUGGUCACAAACUUCGGUGCAUCUGGCCAUGACCUGCCUUUCUAGUUUCCAUGCAGCAGCACACAAACAUUUCUUUCUGUUACGGAAGUCCUUAGAGUUCCUCUGCUAUUGAGUAAAAUGACUAAGACAAAUCUUAAAUGAAGAAAAUUAGCUUUAUUUAUGUAAAUUAGAAAAAUGAAUUGUUAGAGCUUUGGUCAAAUGGUUAAUUCUGUACAAUUUACAAUUAUAUUUAUAUACAAGACUUAAUAAAAUACAGUACAUCACACUUUUCCUGAGUCACAGUGUGUUUCUCAGUUCCCUCUCCUUUUUAUCUUUUUUUUUUUCAAAA